AGUCGUGAGCAAGUCGUGAGUCACUGAACUCAAACUCACUGAAUGCUAUUUCAAUUUGUUAUGGUAGGGCAAGGCCCUAUAUGGUAGGGUAGGACGAACAAAAUGAUGGCAUUUAUCAUUUUUAGCGACCUUCCACUUCCGUACAAUGAAGCAUGCCACCAGGUCUGCUAUCAAGGAGCCUGCACAAACUGAAAGACUGGCAUAUCUGGCUGGAGGGCUCAGGGGACGGUGACCGACUGUCAGCGAUGUCGGCCGCCCCCGACAUGGCCGGCGCGCUGAAGGAGAAGAAGCUCUCCUCGACCUCGCUGAUGGUCGGAGACGGCGGCCGCACCAAGACUGUCACCGUCAAGGUCGACGAGAACAAGCCCAAGCCGACCACCAAGAAAAACAAGCCCAUUCAGGCCGACCUCGACGUGGCCAAAGAGUUUCUCCGGUGUCGCGAUGAGGGAGCGCAUCGACUCGACCUCAGCAAGGCGAACAUUGCCCACCUGCCGGCCUCCGUACGCGAACUCACCGACCUACACGAGCUGUACCUGUACGGCAACAAGCUGACCACGGUGCCCGCCGAGCUGGGCUGUCUCACCAGCCUGCAGACGCUGGCACUCAACGAGAACUCACUGACGCAGCUGCCGGACGCGCUGGCGCACCUCACCUCACUCCGGGUGCUCGACCUGAGGCACAACAAGCUCAGCGAGAUUCCCGAUGUUGUUUACAAGCUAACAAAUCUUACUACGCUGUUUUUGAGGUUCAACAGGAUAAAAGUGGUCGGCGAUGACAUUCAAAACCUUGUGAACCUCACGAUGCUCAGUCUGCGUGAGAACAAGAUUCGCGAGCUGACGCCGGGCGUGGGCCGGCUGGUGAAGCUGGUCACCUUCGACAUCUCGCACAACCACCUGGAGCACCUGCCCGAGGCGAUCGGCAACUGCGUGCGCCUGUCUACCCUGGACCUGCAGCACAACGAGCUGAUCGACAUUCCUGAGACGAUCGGAAACCUCCGCGCACUCACCCGGCUCGAGCUCAGGUACAACCGUCUGACGGAGCUGCCUCGCUCGCUGGCCAAGUGUGUGCACAUGGAGCAAUACAAUAUGGAGGGCAACAGCGUGGCGCGCCUGCCGGACGGCCUGCUGUCGGCGCUCAACAGCCUGACCAGCGUCACGCUCGCCAGGAACUGCUUCACCAGCUUCCCGGUCGGCGGACCGGCCCAGUUCACGAACGUUGACGCUAUAAACAUGGAACACAACCAGAUCGACAAGAUCCCGUACGGCAUCUUCUCGCGGGCGCGUCACCUGACCAAGCUGAACAUGAAGGACAACCUGCUGACCUCUCUGCCGAUGGACAUCGGGACGUGGGAGCAUAUGGUGGAGCUGAACCUGGGCACCAACCAGCUGACCAAGGUGCCGGACGACAUCCAGCACCUGCAGAGUCUCGAGGUGCUCAUCCUCUCCAAUAACCUACUCAGGCGCCUGCCGCCGACGCUGGGCAAUCUCCGUAAGCUGCGCCUGCUCGAUCUGGAGGAGAACCGUCUGGAGACUCUGCCCAGUGAGAUCGGCUACCUGCGGGAGCUGCAGCGGCUGGUACUGCAGAGCAACUGCCUCACGGCGCUGCCCAGAGCUAUAGGUCUUCUAUCGAACCUCACCUACCUGAGCGCCGGCGAGAACAACCUAUCGCACAUCGUGGAGGAGAUCGGUAACCUCGAGUCGCUCGAGUCUCUCUACAUUAACGACAACCCGGGCCUGCACGGACUGCCGUACGAGCUGGUGCUCUGCUCCAGUCUGCAGCUGCUGAGCCUGGAGAACUGUCCGCUAACGCUGAUACCGCCCGAGAUUGUCGCCGCCGGACCCAGUCUGGUCAUACAGUUUCUCAAGAUGCAGGGCCCGUACCGGACCAUGUGACGGUCGGAGUCGGCCGCGCCCGUCGGCGGCGCCUCCUCCUCUCAAUGGCCCGGUGCGGCGUCCCCCUGUCUCUGCUGAUGACGUCUCUGGUACUGAUCGCCCAGCUGACUCCCGGAGCCGCACGGACACGACGCAGCGCCAGCUGCAAGGCCUGCACCGACCUCGUCGGAAAGUUCCAGGUUUGUUCGGGGCCGCAGGACUGUCCACUGAACACCUACUGCACCACGACGGGACUGGGAGACGGUCAGCAGCGCUGCUUCCCGGCCAAAAAGCCCGGCGGCACCUGCCUCGAAGACCGAGAGUGCCUCUCUGGCAGCUACUGUAACCAGCCGGCCUGUGGCGGCAUCUUCGACCCCGUGUGCUUCACCUACGUGUGCGGCGCGGUGAGCGCCUCUGCCGGCAUCAGUCUGGCGCAGGCGGCCGGCCUCAGCUCCGGGGACGUCCUUCCCGAGCUGGGAGGACUCUUCCAGCAGACGUCACGCUUUGGGUGAGACGGGAGAACUGCUGAAGACGUCAUGACCGGGGACGAGGAAUUAGAAGGGAAACCUUCAGCAGCCAUCAAUACAGCUAACCCUUCAGCAGACGUAACCGAUUGAGCGAAUAGCCAGACUUCGGACGAUCUACCGUUGAUCGACGAUUGAUCUACUAGUUUGCCAUCAAGCCAUUUGCCAGCCUUGCCGUCUGCUAAUCCAGGGCGCUUCUUAGGUUUUCCUUUACCUUUGUCUUCUAUGAACAAGACACUGACAGGGUGCUUGGUUGGAAGGAGCGUUUGACUGAAGUGUCUGCCGAUGUCCAAGUGCUCCGGACUGCGACCGUCAAACUGAGCCAGUGAAGCGUAGUGGAAAACAUUUGUUGCCUGCUGACUGUUGUGUGACAUUGCAAUUGCACCCGCCCGGGACAACGAUCUAGGUAACUUGAGAUACUUUUAACAUGACACUGGAAAAAGACAUGCUCCGAAAUUAGUCAGGUUUCGUAUAACUGGCGUUUCAUCAUUAGCUGUUUGUGUUUUAGUGAACACAUCCAUGUUCUGUACCUGACUCGUUUUAUCGCGUUAUUCCUUGACGUGGCAAAAGGGGCCACGUCAUAUGACAUGACAAUGAUUGUGAAAUGCUGAUGUUAUUUAUUAUUUAUUACAAAGAUGACAUGGUUUGUGGCAAUACACAAAAUUGCCAAUGAA
rnacentral:misc_RNA from 1 species